CUACGGAGGGGGUUAGCGUUGUUCGGAAUUACUGGGCGUAAAGCGCACGUAGGCGGACUGGAAAGUUGGGGGUGAAAUCCCGGGGCUCAACCCCGGAACUGCCUCCAAAACUUCCAAUCUAGAGAUCGAGAGAGGUGAGUGGAAUUCCAAGUGUGGAGGUGAAAUUCGUAGAUAUUUGGAGGAACACCAGUGGCGAAGGCGGCUCACUGGCUCGAUACUGACGCUGAGGUGCGAAAGCGUGGGGAGCAAACAGGAUUAGAAACCCUAGUAGUCC
rnacentral:rRNA from 1 species